CUAUUUUAACCCAGCGGGGGUGGGUUGAGGACGCGGACGUGAAGGAGAGCACGCACGUCACGUCAAAAUCGUACGUCUCCAGUGCGAGCAGCCGCCAUUUUCUCAGCGUGAUAGAAGCGAGAAGCGAGUGAAAGACUAUGACGUGUCAAGCUCGUGUCUUCAUUGUCCUCGCGCUGAGAGUUAAAGACACAGAAGCUGUUUGUGUGAGGAGUCACAGACCUGUGUGAGGAUGAGGAGGAGGUGUUCUUCUGAAGAGAGGGACAGACGGUUUAAGGAGAGUAAACUUCAGAAUAACAUCAAGUUAUCUUUAUUUUUACUAAGACUAAAAUAAUGUGUGUUUUUUUUAGAUGUUGAAAUCCAGAGACAAGAUAACUUCAUUCUUUUGAGACUGAUAACUCAAACUAACUGGAGUUAAGGACACACAAGUCUGCCUGUGUGAGGAGGUGGUUUUCUCAGCUUCUUCUGAAGAGAGGGAAAGAUCGUUUAAG